GACGAACGCUGGCGGCGUGCUUAAUACAUGCAAGUCGAACGGACAGGCCCGGAGUUUGUGGGGUGCUCGAGUGGCGAACGGGUGAGUAACACGUGAGUAUCCUGUCCUUGUAUUAGGGAUAACAUUAGGAAAAUGGGGAUAAUACCGCAUAUGAGAUCCUGCUGCAUGGUGGGGGAUGGUAAGAUUCGGCGGUGGGGGAUGGACUCGCGGCUUAUCAGCUUGUUGGUGGGGUAGGGGCGUACCAAGCGUUUGACGGGUAGGCCGCCUGAGAGAGUGACCAGGGACAAUGGGACUGCGGUAGGGACCAGACUCGUACGUGCGGCAACAGGCGAGAAUAUGGCACAAUGACCGGACGCCAGUUGCAACAACGUUCCGUGCGGGAUGCUGGCUUACUGGGGGUAAACCGCUUUCGACUGUGCCAAGGCGUGCUUGACGGUAAUGGGUAAAGAAGCACCGGCUAACUACGUG
rnacentral:rRNA from 1 species